AGCCAAGUUACGACAGGACAGAAAAUGGCACAAAAUGGUUUGAGUGUAUCCACGUCUGGCGUGUAAUAAUACUCUGAGCCUAACUCAGUUUUCCAGUCCAAGAGGAUGACAGGCGAGAAGGCAGUAGAGGGAGGAAAUGUCGGGGUGAAAAGUCCUACUGAAAACAGCAGUAAAACGCAUCAAAUAGGAUUACACGGGCCAACCCCGCGUCAACAUUGAUAAGCACGCGAAACCCUAUCCGUUGGGUCCCACAAGCUUUGGACGUUCCAGUCAAAAAGCGCGACGUUUGCACAGCAACGGUGGACAAGUUCUUGUAUUUGAUAAGCACGACAACGUGCACGAACAUCACGCAAUUCGACGCUUCAUUUCGUCUCUUUCAAAGAGAAUCAACUUGGAUAACGUCAACGCUUUUAACGCUGCCCCGUCAACAAUAUGGGCUACUAUAUAAAAAUGGCUUUUUGUUUGUUUCGUUUUGUAAUUGCCAGCACGCGUGCAUUUUGGCCGUACGGUUGGUUAAUAAAAAUUCGACCGCAGAAAUCUGAACGGCUUAUUAUAUACUUGUCUGUUGUAAAACGCAUUUCUUUCUGUUUUUGAAUAGCAGUGCGUGUAUUAUUGCUCUGUUUAAAGACACGCCGGAGCGCUUAACAUAAACGUAUGCAUAUCACAUUAAUAGGCUAUACGCGUGUAAUCGGGAGGACCGUUUAUUUCGCGCAUCGUUUUCCCAUACACUGGUCUAUAAUCAAUUGUGUAUAAGAAAAAUGGCUGCUGCUUUAUUUGUGUAAAUAGCAUAGUUUUGGCUUUAAUUUUUAAUUUGUGAAUCGCUUUGCGUAUAUAUAUAUAGUCUAUAAAACAAAUGGCUGUAUCA